AGAGUUGAUCAUGGCUCAGAACGAACGCUGGCGGCGUGGAUUAGGCAUGCAAGUCGAACGGGACUUAUGUUGUAGCAAUACUUAUAAAGUCUAGUGGCGUAAGGGUGAGUAACACGUGGGUAAUGUACCCGAUAGUUUGGGAUAACGUUCCGAAAGGGACGCUAAUACCGGAUGUGAUGUUAGACCGCCGGGUUUAACAAGAAAGGUGGGGACCGCAAGGCCUGCCGCUAACGGAACGGCCCGCGACCUAUUAGCUAGUUGGUGGGGUAAAGGCCUACCAAGGCGAGGAUGGGUAGCCGAACUGAGAGGUUGACCGGCCACACUGGGACUGAGACACUGCCCAGACUUCUACGGAAGGCUGCAGUCGAGAAUCAUUCACAAUGGACGAAAGUCUGAUGAUGCGACGCCGCGUGCGCGAUGAAGGUCUUCGGAUUGUAAAGCGCUUUGAACAGGGAAGAAUGCCGCGUAUUUAAUAGAUAACGCGGAGGGACAGUACCUGACAAGCAAGCCCCGGCUAAUUUCGUGCCAGCCGCCGC
rnacentral:rRNA from 1 species